rnacentral:rRNA from 1 species
GGCCAGGCUGAAGACUUUGCCGGAUUAGCUGAGAGGUGGUGCAUGGCCGUCGUCAGUUCGUACUGUGAAGCAUCCUGUUAAGUCAGGCAACGAGCGAGACCCACGCCCACAGUUGCCAGCGUACUCUCUGGAGUGACGGGUACACUGCGGGGACCGCCGCUGCUAAAGCGGAGGAAGGAAUGGGCAACGGUAGGUCAGCAUGCCCCGAAUUAUCCGGGCUACACGCGGGCUACAAUGGUCAGGACAAUGGGUAUCGACACCGAGAGGUGGAGGCAAUCUCCUAAACCUGUCCUUAGUUCGGAUUGUGGGCUGCAACUCGCCCACAUGAAGCUGGAAUCCGUAGUAAUCGCGUUUCAAAAUAGCGCGGUGAAUAUGUCCCUGCUCCUU